UACGUAGGGUGCAAGCGUUGUCCGGAAUUACUGGGCGUAAAGGGCGCGUAGGCGGUUCGCUAAGUUGGAUGUGAAAACUCUGGGCUCAACCCAGAGCCUGCAUCCAAAACUGGCGGGCUAGAGUUCUGGAGGGGGUAGCGGAAUUCCUGGUGUAGCGGUGAAAUGCGUAGAUAUCAGGAGGAACACCAGUGGCGAAGGCGGGUCUCUGGACAGUUCCUGACACUGAGGCACGAAGGCCAGGGGAGCAAACGGG
rnacentral:rRNA from 1 species